rnacentral:lncRNA from 1 species
AAUCUGACUGCGUGGUCCUUGAAUGGCUCCCUCCUGGUCCACACCUGCACGGGCAGCCUGGCAGCUCUGGUAUCUGCUGGGGACAUGUUCGCCCAGGCCCAUGUCCACACGGCCUGCGGCCACCGCCACACCCAUCUGGAUGCCAGCCUCCAGCACACGUGGCCGCCACUUCAGGCUUUGGGGGUUGCCCCCAACAACCACAUCCAGGUGUCUGUGGGGGGACACGAACCCCCCAGGGCCGAGCUGGACGUGGCCCUGGGCCAGUGCACGCUGACCGCUCAUGGGGACGUCGGUACUGAGGCCAACACCACUCAUGCCAACUGGACCUUGUCCCUGGUGAAUCGCUGUCCUCUGCUGGAGGGCCUGGGCCUCCCAGCAGGGACCGAGCUCAGCGGCUCCCUGCAGGCCGCAGGCGGGGAAGCAGAGAUGUCCGGGACCCUCGCAUCGGCCGGCCAGACCGCCUCCCUGACCUUGGCGGGGGCCGUGCACCAGUCUGAGGCCACCCUCCGAGUGAAGCUGAGUCACACACUGCCCACGCUGCGGGCCUUACCCCCAGAGGCCUUGCUGGCCGUCCAGCUUGGCUGGGAGGCCGGGCGCCGGCUGGGUCUGGAGCUGCAGGCAGGGGCCUGCGAGCUGCAGGGUCGCGGCGAGCUGCGCCUGGACCGCGGGCUGGAGUGGUCGGUGCUGGCCGAGAGCUCCUGCGAGGCCCUGCAGGCCCUGGGGGUCCUGGGCCGAGUCAACAGCUCCGGGGCUGUCGUGCUGAACUCGGAGGCCGUGGACGCCCGGGCGCUGGUCUCCGUGAACCACACCACGCUGAGGGGGCUGUUGGUCCUCAGGACUACCGAGAGCCAGCGGGAGGUCGAUAUAUUGCUCGUGCACGACCUGCCUCAGCCCAGCUCCUUGGGCCUCCCAGCCCGGGUCCUGCUGCAGCUGGCCGCCCAGAGCCAUGGGCCCGGCUAUAGACGUGCCCUGCGGGUCGGAGUGGACGGCAGACAGGUGUCCGAGGAGCUGACGUUCACUCGGCAGCCAGAGCUCCUGUCCCUGAACUACACACUCGAGCACAACGUCCCCCUGCUGCGGACACUGUGGAUAGAGGACAAGCUGGGUCUGCAGGCCUCUGUGGACGUUCCCAGCGGCGGCUCCGGCUUUGAGCACUCCGGCCGCAUCUCGGCAGGGCCCACCUCCCUGAACUACUCCGUGAGCUGCUGUCGCCGUACCGGGUACCUGCAGCUCACUGGCUGGAGUGAGCACAACAGCGUGACCCUGCUGCAGGCCAGGCUCCCGGGCAAGGCCCGCCUGCGCGCCGAGCUGCACACGCACGGUAAGGCGCCCUGGGCACUGCCCCAGCUCUGGCCGGCCAGCCUCCCCCACCCCGGAGCCUCCUCGCCAGUCUCGGAGCUAAAGGGCAUCCUUGCCCCUGAAGGCCUGAGUCCCGGGCGGCCUGUAUGCCUUGCUGAGGCCCGCCGCAGGCGUGUCAUCGCUAAUGGUCCUGGAGGCCGGGUGUCUGCAGGGCCACGCUCCUGCUCCAGGCUCUGUAGGGAGACUCCUUCCUGCCUCUUCCAGCUCUCGGAGGCCCCAGCUGGUCCUCGGCUUGUGGCCGCAUCCCUCUGA